UCAUCUUKAUAUCUCCACCUGUGCACCUUUUGUAGACCUGGAUAAUCUUUCUGAAUGCACUUGCAUUUCAGGUUUUGAGGAAUUGACUUUAUGUCUCUCCUUACAUUUCCAGGCCUAUGUUUCUUCAUAUACCCCUAUGUAUGUUUUAGAAUGUAACACAUGGGCCUUUUGUGCCUAUAAAUUUAUACAACUUUCAGCAACGGAUCUCUUGGCUCUCGCAUCGAUGAAGAACGCAGCGAAAUGCGAUAAGUAAUGUGAAUUGCAGAAUUCAGUGAAUCAUCGAAUCUUUGAACGCACCUUGCGCUCCUUGGUAUUCCGAGGAGCAUGCCUGUUUGAGUGUCAUUAAUAUAUCAACCUCUUCAGCUUAUGCUUGUUGAGUGUUGGAUGUGGGGGUAUUUUUUUUGCUGGCAUCUUAUGAAGUCAGCUCCCCUGAAAUGCAUUAGCAGAACAAUUUAUUGACUGUUCAUUGGUGUGAUAAAUAUCUACGCUAUUGACGUCGGUCAGUUCAGCUUCUAACAGUCUAUUAACUUGGACAAAUUUUUUCAUUAAUGUGACCUCAAAUCAGGUAGGACUACCCGCUGAACUUAAGCAUAUCAAUAAGCGGAGGAAAAGAAACUAACAAG
rnacentral:rRNA from 1 species